AUUGAACGCUGGCGGCAGGCCUAACACAUGCAAGUCGAAUGGUAACAGGAAACAGCUUGCUGUUUCGCUGACGAGUGGCGGACGGGUGAGUAAUGUCUGGGAAACUGCCUGAUGGAGGGGGAUAACUACUGGAAACGGUAGCUAAUACCGCAUAACGUCGCAAGACCAAAGAGGGGGACCUUCGGGCCUCUUGCCAUCAGAUGUGCCCAGAUGGGAUUAGCUAGUAGGUGGGGUAACGGCUCACCCAGGCGCCGCUCCCUAGCUGGUCUGAGAGGAGGACCAGCCACACUGGAACUGAGACACGGGCCAGACUCCGACGGGAGGCAGCAGUGGGGAAUAUUGGACAAUGGGCGGAAGCCUGAUGCAGCCAUGCCGCGUGUAUGAAGAAGGCCUUCGGGUUGUAAAGUACUUUCAGCGGGGAGGAAGGGAGUAAAGUUAAUACCUUUGCUCAUUGACGUUACCCGCAGAAGAAGCACCGGCUAACUCCGUG
rnacentral:rRNA from 1 species